rnacentral:rRNA from 1 species
UACGUAGGGUGCGAGCGUUGUCCGGAAUUAUUGGGCGUAAAGGGCUCGUAGGCGGUCUGUUGCGUCGGGAGUGAAAACUCAGGGCUUAACCCUGAGCCUGCUUCCGAUACGGGCAGACUAGAGGUAUGCAGGGGAGAACGGAAUUCCUGGUGUAGCAGUGAAAUGCGUAGAUAUCGGGAGGAAUACCAAUGGCGAAGGCAGGUCUCUGGGCUGACACUGACGCUCAUGCACGAAAGCGUGGGGAGCAAACAGG